UUUGAUUAGAUCAAAUUUAAAUUUUGAUGAGAUCAAAUUGUUUUUGAAGAUUAAAUUUUUGAUCAAAAUUAUAAAGAUCAAUAAGAUUGAUUGUUAUUAGUGAUUAAGUCACUAUUAUUUUUCGAAUCAUCUUUUAACGGUUAAUUAGAAUAUCCAAAUUUAUUAUUAUAUGUGUGAUGUAUGAGAUACAUAUCGGUGAUGAUCAUGGAUAGCGACCUAUUUAUAUUUCGACAUGUGAUGUAUGAUGUGUAUGCAGAAUCCUGUAAUUUUAAAUUUGUUUAAAUUAAGGACUUUGUAUUAGAGAUGGCUAAUUUUGUACCUGCGUGCACAAGCCAAUUCAUUUGGAGACCUACGUGUCUCAAUAGGUUAGAGAUAAAAGUUAUCAAAUGUAAUUAAUUUUUAUUUUAUUUUUAUUGUUGGAUUGUAUAAUGUAUGGUUGCACGUCAUUAGUUUAUCGGUUACA
rnacentral:lncRNA from 1 species